rnacentral:tRNA from 3 species
GGCCCCUUAGCUCAGUGGUUAGAGCAGGUGACUCAUAAUCGCUUGGUCGCUGGUUCAAGUCCAGCAGGGGCCACCA